UUUGGUUCAUGGGUUUUUAGAGAGAGAAAGUUGUUAGAACGCCAAGAACACACACACACAAGUGUGUGUGAGAGAAUCAUUUUUGAAGAUCUUCAUCUUGUUCCUCAGACGGGUCUAGAUCCGGAGUGAGGAGAAUGACCAGGUCCGUGACGGGUAGGCUGGCUAAUAAGCGAAAGCAGAACGAUAAAGAAACAGAACGAUAACGAAAGAAGGUAGAUGGAGAAACCGAUGAAGAAUGGGAACAAGAAGUCGAUGAAGGGCAGGUAGUGGGUACCUUUUGACGUUGUACAGAAGUUACCCUCCAGUGUAACACAUGUUACAAACAUGUGUUACAUAUGUUCAACCCCUUUGUUACCAAAAAUCGGGGCUGCACAUAUGUAAGACAUGCUUGUAACUUAUGUUACACUAGAGGGUAACACAUGUAUGAUCAUUUUUGGAUCAUUUGUAUAUAUUUAAGUCUGUAUAAACCUACAACAUUGAUACCCCCAAAAAGGUUACACAUGUUACGAUAGAAUGGGAAAUGUGUAGCAACGUUCAAUACUGUUGUUUCACUCUAUAGUGUGUAACAUGUGUGAAAUGGCGUUUGUCAGUAAAACAUAUAACUUGUAAGGUGAUACGACUGUAUCUUUAAAACAUGUUUACCUAUAAGUACUUACAUGUUACAGGUUGUAUCUUUAAAA